rnacentral:lncRNA from 7 species
CCCCCCACGAAGUCCAGCUGGCAGACCUUCAGAUAACCGGUGCAAUCUGCUGGCUGAUGUGCAGCAUGAAGUCAGCUUCCAUCAAUCAAGUGUGCUGGGGAGCACAAGAGAGGUAGGAGAGGGGUGUCUCCGGGACUUGCUGCAAGUCAGUGUCCCUCCCUGCUGUCACUGAGCCCAGGACACCUGCCUGCCACCCUGUGUGGUCUCACCCACUUGUUGAGUGUGAAACCUUGAACUGUGGAAGGUGUACCUGAGGACUGGACAUAGUGUGAGGAAGCUCUUUUGUCCCGACCUUCAAAAUUCAUGAUUUCAGCUGAAAGUCGAAGAAAGCCAAAGAUAGAAGGAGAAAUACCGUGAGAAAAAAUAAACCUGUAGUUUUCAAGCCAAGUGCGAUACAAGAGACUGAGGAUCCUUCUGCCUCAGAAGCAAAAUUGAACCUACAGAGAAGUCCUCUUGUUUUUAAUCCAGUCAACACCACGAUAUUCAAAUUGAAAAAAUGUUGAUUUUGUGUCUCGUACUCAGCAGAAAAGAAGCAUGCAUGAGAAGGGACAAAACAAAAAACCUCUGCAUUUAUUAACCUCCAAGUCUUUAAGAGAAUAAAGGUAUUAU